AAUAAAACGUGUCGCUCGUGACCAGUGUUCCGAGAAACUCGGGUUAGAUACAUUUCCACUGCUAUCUCGUGAUUGCGGGUCAAGAAACAUUUUACAAUUUGUCCAAUGACAAAAAGAAAAAGAGAAAGAGAGAGAUGAACGAGACUACCCGUUGGCAAGCACGAGAUUAUAAUAAUCUCACGGAGAGCAAAAUAUGUGACAAAAGUUGCAGUUAGAGAGUAGCGUGAAUGCAGAACAGUAUAUGACAACAGCUAGCUAGUACUCAUCGAAUCUACAAAAAGGUAAGUGACAAUAAUAAUUUUGCUUCAUUUACGUUAAUUCUUGAGGGUAAUGCUUGAGAUGUUAAUUUCUGUC
rnacentral:misc_RNA from 1 species